AUUCCAGCUCCAAUAGCGUAUACUAAAGUUGUUGCAGUUAAAAAGCUCGUAGUUGAAUUUCUGGUCUUGGACGGCGGUCUACCACAAUUGUGGUACGUACCAACUGUCCGAGUCCAUCCUCGGGGAAAACAUGCCUGUGAUUCAGUUCAUGGGUAUGGGAUCCUCGUCAUUUACUGUGAGCAAAAUAGAGUGUUCAAAGCAGGCUUAUGCCGUUGAAUACAUUAGCAUGGAAUAAUAAGAUAGGAUCUUGAUACUAUUUUGUUGGUUUGCGUGUCGAGAUAAUGAUGAAUAGGGACAGUUGGGGGUAUUUGUAUUCCAUAGUCAGAGGUGAAAUUCUUGGAUUUAUGGAAGACAAACUAAUGCGUAAGCAUCUACCAAGGAUGUUUUCAUCA
rnacentral:rRNA from 1 species